CCUACUUAGACACACACUAUCAUUUAUCCUUCACAACACACCUGAAAAUUGGCUUCUUAGAAUCUCUCUGGAUUCCAAGUCUGCUGCCUACUGUAAUAUUCACUACUUUACUGCCCUCUUGGCCUUGUCUAAUAAGUGGUUGUGAACUACCACUUUGACUUUAGCUUUGACCUUAUCUUUUGGUGUAGAAAAUGCUUCCUUUGUGGAAGGCUUCAUUAGUUCCAGGCUCCACCUUAUGAUCUGAAUUUUACUGGGGCUGACCCACUCACUUGCCUACCUUUUAUUGUCUGCCCCAGCCUUGCCUAGGUUUUUUUUUGAGCCUGGUUUUCUUCUUCUUUUAUUUAUAAACUGUUGUUCUUUUUAUAAACUAUUGUUUCAGUUUACCUAACGGUACAAGUGAUCAGACAGUCAUUUCAAUUGUGGAGAAUAGAUCUGAAAAUGGCACAGGAAGUUGGAAGAUUAUCGGAAAUGUAAAGUAAGGAAACGGGGUGGAGGUAGAUUCUGAGUAAAGCCUUAAAGGAUGAGGUGGCUCCGAGGUAGAAUGACACCUUUGUGAUGUCACGAGUGAAAGCAGCUAAACAUUCCGGUGACUCAUGGAAAACAGUGCUGGGCGAGGUGGAAGGACUCAGCAGGAUGCAUUUAGCUGCCCUGGGUCUGAACCUUCCUUCUUAUCUCCAGAUACCUGUGUGUUUUUCCUGCUUCUAAUUUUGAGUACCUCCCAGGAUGACAGAUUUGAAUUUCUUUGUUAACAGGCUUUUGGUGUAUUGAGAGUGAUUACCAUUUAAUUAGCUAAUUAGCUGAUUAGCUUUUAAUGAGCAGCUUUUAAUAUACAAGUCUGUUCUUUAGAUGAUAGCCUGCAUCCAUCUUUUGCUCAUAAAAUACUUAAUAUUGACCCUGUGUCCCUCUGGGGUUCAUUUUUGUUUAGUCCUAAGUAGGAGUUAGAUAGGUAACAAGGAUGGGGAAGAAGACAAUCUUUCAGUAGAGAAAUCAAAGACAAUUCAGUACUAACCUUUAAGGGAUGUGAAGUCUUGUUGGAUAAAGUGAAAAACUGACAAAAUAAAAUCUAUAGAUGUACAAGACCAAAAAUGUAAGAGAACCACGCUUCAGUCUUCGUCUUGAGCCCUGUCUUUGGAAGGUCUGAUUCAGUCACGAGUGGGACUGAGAAAUCCAUUUAUUGCCAAUCUGCUCAGGCUUCUAAACUUGUUGAGAAAUAAGAAAACUGAGAGAAGUAGAGGGUAAGUAUCACCUUGAUUGUAAGAAGAAGCCACCUUGGAAGAUGUGGCUGUAAGUCUUCUCCACCAAUCAUGACAAUGCUGAACUGGGACAGGCCUCCCAGUUUGGCUGGCAUCAACAAAAACACAGAGGAUUUACUUUCCAGGAAUUUUUCAUGUGCCUCCUCCUGGCACAGGAGCCUGUCCCAAACUGGACCCAUGGGAAAAACGAUGUUCAUUAAAAGGAAGAUGGGAGCAGACCCUGACCCAAUGGGACAAAGAAUGCUACUAUUAAUUUCAGCAAAGGAAAUACACAUUUCCCACAUGCUAAUUCAAGUAUACAGACAUCUGAACUCAACCAUGGAAGCUGGUGGCAGACUGUUCAACCUUUGGGGUGAUGAUCUAUAGGACAUUGUUUGUAGGCUGAUUUGAUAAAUGUUGCAUGCAUUGAAAGGGAGCUGCCCACUUUGGAAAAACCUAACUCGCAUAAAGAAGGAUGGAAAAAAGAAUGUCCAAGGAGGAGGAAGGGUGAGAAAGUGGCACAUUCCCUAUCAGUGCACCAGAAGCUGUGUUCAGAAACAACUAUAAUACAAGAAAGAAAAUAGUGCUUCAGAAGAAGAGGGCGCCAUAACUUAGGGUAGUUCAAAAGAAGAUGAAAUUAGCUACACACUGCUUUGGUAUUUCAUGUCCAUUAACUUCUCCACCUUGCAACCAGGAAUAAUUGCCAAUUGAUUAUUUCAGGUGAAAAAGAUGUACAGUUGGAACCUGCUUAAAAGAGAUUUUGUUUAUCUAGCAUCUUCUGAGUAAUUCUGGACCUCAAACACCUUUAACUGUUUCUAGGCAUUGAAAUGCAGAUAUUUGCUUGCCUUCUUUCAGAAGCCAACUUCCUCUGCUGGGUGGUGGAGGAGGGGCCAAGAAGACAUUCAGUCUAGCGGUCUCUCUUAAGUACUCUGUAAGAUCAUGCAUAUCUUCCUAGAUGCUUCUAGUAGCCUUCUCAGGUUACCACCCAGGCUGGGAAAAUUGUCAACAUUUAUUCCAUUGCACAUAUGAAACUAUUUCAAAUGCAAUUAUAAGGUAGGAUAGGAAAUAUUUAAAAACUUGAUAAAUAGGACUUUUCCCCAGAGUACCAGAAAGACGGUACUUAAGUAAUUUAGGCCCUUCCCAAGAUGGUCUUGUGAGUUUCACAAGUCCUAGGUGAUCCUACUUCCCUAAGAUUCUUACCCUCUCUCUAGCAUGUUUUUCAGUUCUCUGUGAUAAUACCCAUCCACUUCUCUCAUUAAGUGCCAUCCCACUCUCAAUGUCCAACUCCUUCUCUCUGCAUUUGUUCAGUCUGAGGUCUUCAUCUGUACAAAAGCUUCUAGAGUCCUUGGGAUGAUCAGAGACACAGUUGAAACCUAAGCCCUUUUGCUGUCUUUGGUUUUCCUACUCUUUGGACAAUUGAACUGAUGUGAAUGGCAGACAUGUUUAUUAAACUGUAACAUGCUAAGAGCAAACAAAUGCACUUCUCUCAAAGACAAAUAUGAACUUUCAGGAACAGCAGAGUCCAAAAAAUACUGAGAAAUGAAAUGUUUCUUUAAUAAACAAGUUUCCUUUCCUUUCCGGUGGAGCCAGUGUGUCUAUUUAUUGAGUUACCAACAAUACCAAAACUUAAAAGCUUACACAAGCAACUGUUUGUUUAGCUUAUGAUUCUCUGUGUUGGUGAUUUGAACUGGGGUUAUAUGAUCACUUUGCUCCUGAUUGUAGCUGCUUGUGUCCUACUCUUGUGUCUGUUGUCAGAUGGUAACUCAACUGGGGCUCAGUUUAUCACGGCCUCUUUAACAUAUCAGGUGGUUGGUUCAUUAUUAGCUGGAACGACAGGACUGCUUGGGCUACAUGUCUCUUAUCAUUUAGAACAUCUACUCACAUCACUCAUUAUACCUGCACACGUCAUCCACAACCCUGCACACAUCAUCCACAUCCCUGCUUGCAUCAUCCACAUACACAUCUGCUCAUGUUACUGACACACCUGCUCACAUCAUGCAGCAUACCUGCUCAUAUCAUUUAAUAGACUCAAUAGGGCUUAUGCACGGGUAAGCAGAAAAGUUCCCAGAUAAACAAGAAGUCCAAAUCCCAAAG